AGUCGCCGCUGAGGGGCCGGCGAUGCGCGAGGAGUUCCGGCGAGGAAGGUCGGUCAGUGGACAUGGCCGAGGCCCGCGGUGUCCGCGUGUGGGAGCUGCAGGGCUGAGGAGAGGCCGCCCGCAACCCUCGGGAAUCGUGUGAGGUGCCACUGGGGUCGCUUCACAUCAGGAGGCCCCGUCUCGGGGGACGCGCGCAGAGACGAGGUCUCACUAUGUUGGCCAGGUUGGUCUCGAAUUCCUGGCCGCAAGCCGUUCUC
rnacentral:lncRNA from 10 species